AAGCUCAAAUUUGAAAUCUAGUACCUUUGGUGCUCGAGUUGUAAUUUGAAGAUAUUUCUUUGGAGUUGGCCCUUGUCUAUGUUCCUUGGAACAGGACGUCAUAGAGGGUGAGAAUCCCGUCUGAUGGGGUGUCCAACUCUUUGUAAAGUUUUAUCGAAGAGUCGAGUUGUUUGGGAAUGCAGCUCUAAGUGGGUGGUAAAUUCCAUCUAAAGCUAAAUAUUGGCGAGAGACCGAUAGCGAACAAGUACAGUGAUGGAAAGAUGAAAAGAACUUUGAAAAGAGAGUGAAAAAGUACGUGAAAUUGUUGAAAGGGAAGGAUAUUAGAUCAGACUUGGUGUUUUACGAUUAUCUUCCCUUCUUGGGUUGUGCACUCGUGCUACACUGGGCCAGCAUCGAUUCGGACGGUAAGAUAAUGACUUAGGAACGUGGCACUCCUUCGGGAGUGUGUUAUAGCCUGUGUUGAUGUUGCCUGUCUGGAUCGAGGACUGCGUCUUUUGACUAGGAUGUUGGCGUAAUGAUCUAAUAUCGCCCG
rnacentral:rRNA from 1 species